AUUAUUUAUGUCAGUGCAUGCAUGUAUAUAUAUCAUAUAUAUGCAAUAUACACACACAUAUAUAUGCAUGCUUGCUAAUGUCCUGGGCUGGGUGUGCUGCUGUUUUCAGCCUUUGGCAACACGUCAGCAGGAUGUACUGAGUUACGUACACAUGGCCACAGAAGUGACCUUUUGCAAUUGCAGAAAAAUACAAAAGAUUUAUUUUGGCAUUUCUUAUAAAAAAAAGAGCCCAGUUUGACUUUAAAGUCUGCUUUCUGCAACUUGUUUUAACCUAUGAGCUGUAGCUGAAAAAAAAGCAACAUGAGAAAUUGUUUGGGGAAAAAGGGUAGAAAUGAAAUGUCAGCUUUGCAUAAAUUUAUUUUAUAUACAUUUCACUAUAGUUUUUCAAGGUCUGUUAGUGAAAAGCUUCAUGUACAGAAAGCUUUAGAAGCAAUGGAUGCAUGUUGGUGGAGGAAGAAUUUUAAUACUUUGACUUUCCAUUAAAGAGGUCACAUUUCACAAUGAUUCUCUGCCUUGGUGUGAUUAGGCAUUAAUAUAUAAAGAUAACUAAGAAAGAACCAAAUACAGGAAGGAAAUGAGUGGUUCGUUGACUUGGAAAUUCUUUAAAACAAUGAAGGAAAGUCAAGCACAAAGCAAACUGGAUUAUUUGUGGAAGGAGGAUUAUUUUUCAGUUACAAUGGACACACAAUCACAGUUGUAUAGUACAGACAAAGAGCUUAGUCCUUCAUUCACUGAACCCAAUCAGAAUUUCUCUGCUGACUUCAGUGAGAGUUGGAUCAGAUCUUCAAAAAUGUCAAGGUCAGUAAUCUAGCCAUAACACAGAUGUUCAGUGGGAAGGAGAAACCCAUUGGGAUGUAGAAUCUGCUCAUCAGGAAACUACCACUUCUAUCAAACCCCUCCCCACUGACUUAUGACCCUCUGGGAGGCAUGUGCAGGCACAUCUCCUUGCCCUGGCCAGUAGAAGGAAGGGGCAAAAACUAUGAAAAGAACCUUAUCCUGGAAGUGACCUAGCACUUAGGGAAGCAGGGUCCACACGGCAAGCCAGGAGCAGCAAGCACACUGAAUACAGCAGAAACCACCGGGGAACUGUAUGCAGAGCAGGCUGCAGCAGCAGCCAGGGAAUCACAGGUGGAACGGGAUGUGACUGUAGGACAUUGCAGCUGGGUUCAAGUCUGCACAGAACUUGUGGAAAAGCAACAGAGACUGGGCAAGGAGCCAGUGCUGAGGGGCCCCAACGAGAUAGAUCACUAACUGAUCCUGGCCAGGAAAUCUGUAUUCUCCUAUUUGUCUCUAGCAGAGACUGGACUGGAGAGGCAUGCCAGGCACUGGGCCUGAGGAGCCCUAACCCUCUAGCAGACUACCACUGUUUAAGCCACAGUACCUAGCGUAUUGCAACCUUCCCCUUCCUGCCAGCCCUAGUAAAGUACCCCUUCAUUUA